AGCCGAAACCGGGGGCGACCCCGGUCUGACCGGAGGUAGCCGCCCGGCGCUGACGAGGCAGGCAGGC
rnacentral:hammerhead_ribozyme from 1 species